ACCAGACCUAAGUGACAAGAGACUGGAAGUGGUCGGGCUGGAGGGUGCAAUUGAGAUGGGCCAAAUCUAUACCAAGCUCAAGAAUGCCGGACGUCGGCUGGCCAAGUGCUCUGAGAUCACCUUCCACACCACAAAAACCCUUCCCAUGCAAAUUGAUGGAGAACCCUGGAUGCAGACGCCCUGUACAGUGAGUAUUGACGAUCCCAGCCAAAAAUUAAACCCUU
rnacentral:sRNA from 1 species